GUACACUCCUACGGGAGGCAGCAGUGGGGAAUUUUGGACAAUGGGCGAAAGCCUGAUCCAGCCAUGCCGCGUGCAGGAUGAAGGCCUUCGGGUUGUAAACUGCUUUUGUACGGAACGAAACGGCCUUUUCUAAUAAAGAGGGCUAAUGACGGUACCGUAAGAAUAAGCACCGGCUAACUACGUGCCAGCAGCCGCGGUAAUACGUAGGGUGCAAGCGUUAAUCGGAAUUACUGGGCGUAAAGCGUGCGCAGGCGGUUAUGUAAGACAGUUGUGAAAUCCCCGGGCUCAACCUGGGAACUGCAUCUGUGACUGCAUAGCUAGAGUACGGUAGAGGGGGAUGGAAUUCCGCGUGUAGCAGUGAAAUGCGUAGAUAUGCGGAGGAACACCGAUGGCGAAGGCAAUCCCCUGGACCUGUACUGACGCUCAUGCACGAAAGCGUGGGGAGCAAACAGGAUUAGAUACCCUUGUAGUCCC
rnacentral:rRNA from 1 species